rnacentral:rRNA from 1 species
UACGUAGGGGGCAAGCGUUAUCCGGAUUUACUGGGUGUAAAGGGAGCGUAGACGGCAGCGCAAGUCUGGAGUGAAAUGCCGGGGCCCAACCCCGGAACUGCUCUGGAAACUGUGAAGCUGGAGUGCAGGAGAGGUAAGCGGAAUUCCUGGUGUAGGAGUGAAAUCCGUAGAUAUCUGGAGGAACAUCAGUGGCGAAGGCGGCCACCUGGACCGGUAUUGACGCUGAGGCGCGAAAGCGUGGGGAGCAAACAGG